rnacentral:rRNA from 1 species
GGCGGACGGGUGAGUAAUGCCUAGGAAUCUGCCUGGUAGUGGGGGAUAACGCUCGGAAACGGACGCUAAUACCGCAUACGUCCUACGGGAGAAAGCAGGGGACCUUCGGGCCUUGCGCUAUCAGAUGAGCCUAGGUCGGAUUAGCUAGUUGGUGGGGUAAUGGCUCACCAAGGCGACGAUCCGUAACUGGUCUGAGAGGAUGAUCAGUCACACUGGAACUGAGACACGGUCCAGACUCCUACGGGAGGCAGCAGUGGGGAAUAUUGGACAAUGGGCGAAAGCCUGAUCCAGCCAUGCCGCGUGUGUGAAGAAGGUCUUCGGAUUGUAAAGCACUUUAAGUUGGGAGGAAGGGCAGUUACCUAAUACGUAUCUGUUUUGACGUUACCGACAGAAUAAGCACCGGCUAACUCUGUGCCAGCAGCCGCGGUAAUACAGAGGGUGCAAGCGUUAAUCGGAAUUACUGGGCGUAAAGCGCGCGUAGGUGGUUUGUUAAGUUGAAUGUGAAAUCCCCGGGCUCAACCUGGGAACU